UGCCUGCCUUAGGAUUCCCCAGUC
rnacentral:piRNA from 1 species